ACUUUUAAUAACUCUUUAGUCUCAAUCUAUAACUUGGAAUUCCAUUAACAAUUCAUAUACCAUCCAACACACCUGAAUUUGGAAUUUCGAUACAAAAAAUUUGAGCAACAUUUACAACAUCUCACAACAAGUAACAACGAUCAACAACCCCAUCAUCAAUUUUCAUCCAAAAACUGGAAAUCAUACCAAAAAAAUCAAAAUGAGGGAAAGAGAAAAGGGGUCAAUACCAACACAAGCAUAAGAGGAGUAAGGAGAAGGGCGGUGGCAGCAGGCGCGGCGGCAGAUUCCAAAGCUCGAAUUGCAGGACUUAAUUUGAUGGCAAAUUUUGCAACUUCACAGAAAAUUUGGGGGAUAAUGUUUGUUGUAAUUGGAUUAACUUCUUUUGGAGCUUUCUCUUAUGCUGCUCUUUUUUCCAAGCUCUUAGCACCAUCAGAAAACACCUUCAUUUCAGCUAUACAAAAAGAUAGAUAUUACUGCUUCUUGGUGCCAUUAUCACUGCCGAUCCUAGUUGUUGCUGUAUACUUUCAUUGGCUCAGCAUGAAACUCUUCAAGCAUGCAUGAUCUUUCUGACAUUCACGUAAAUUUGAUUGGAUAUCGUGUCAUCCACAGCAUCCAAUUAAGAGAUAGACUGCUUCAAAUCACCGGUAUGUAUACCCUCUUUGUGGUGGAUGCUGGCAUUGCUGAAAUUUACUGCUUGAUGAGAAGGAUGAAAUGUAAUAUGAAAAACUCAAGUGUUUCAGCAAGCAAAGUUGUGUAAGUUUAAUUGCAGACAGAAAUGCUUGCUUAGCGUCUUCGAACGCUUAUUGGAUUGAGCCUAUGGAUGCUCAACCUACUACUGUAACUGAACCUUAAGUUUUAUCUAAUUUCUCUUUGUCAAAAAAAAGUUGUAUAAGUUCUGUCAGAAUAUGUGAGCAGUCUGAAACCUCUAUACAAUAUGAAAAUUUGAAUUUAUUGUGAUAA